rnacentral:sRNA from 1 species
UGAUGAGGCUGUGUGCUUCUGAGCUGGGCAUCCGAAGGCAUCCUUGGGGAAGCUGAGGGCACGAGGAGGGGCUGCCAGACUCCGGGAGCUGCUGCCUGGCUGGGAUUCCUACACAAUGCGUUGCCUGGCUCCACGCCCUGCUGGGUCCUACCUGUCAGAGCCCCAAGGCAGCUCACAGUGUGCCACCAUGGAGUUGGGGCCCCUAGAAGGUGGCUACCUGGAGCUUCUUAACAGCGAUGCUGACCCCGUGUGCCUCUACCACUUCUAUGACCAGAUGGACCUCGCUGGAGAAGAAGAGAUUGAGCUCUACUCAGAACCCGACACAGACACCAUCAACUGUGACCAGUUCAGCAGGCUGUUGUGUGACAUGGAAGGUGAUGAAGAGACCAGGGAGGCUUAUGCCAAUAUCGCGGAACUGGACCAGUAUGUCUUCCAGGACUCCCAGCUGGAGGGCCUGAGCAAAGACAUUUUCAUAGAGCACAUAGGACCAGAUGAAGUGAUCGGUGAGAGUAUGGAGAUGCCAGCAGAAGUUGGGCAGAAAAGUCAGAAAAGACCCUUCCCAGAGGAGCUUCCGGCAGACCUGAAGCACUGGAAGCCAGUGCCUUCCUCCAGUUCCUCGUUGAGCUGCCUGAAUCUCCCUGAGGGACCCAUCCAGUUUGUCCCCACCAUCUCCACUCUGCCCCAUGGGCUCUGGCAAAUCUCUGAGGCUGGAACAGGGGUCUCCAGUAUAUUCAUCUACCAUGGUGAGGUACCCCAGGCCAGCCAAGUACCCCCUCCCAGUGGAUUCACUGUCCAUGGCCUCCCAACAUCUCCAGACCGGCCAGGCUCCACCAGCCCCUUCGCUCCAUCAGCCACUGACCUGCCCAGCAUGCCUGAACCUGCCCUGACUUCCCGAGCAAACAUGACAGAGCACAAGACGUCCCCCACCCAAUGCCAGGCAGCUGGAGAGGUCUCCAACAAGCUUCCAAAAUGGCCUGAGCCGGUGGAGCAGUUCUACCGCUCACUGCAGGACACGUAUUGUGCCGAGCCCGCAGGCCCCGAUGGCAUCCUAGUGGAGGUGGAUCUGGUGCAGGCCAGGCUGGAGAGGAGCAGCAGCAAGAGCCUGGAGCGGGAACUGGCCACCCCGGACUGGGCAGAACGGCAGCUGGCCCAAGGAGGCCUGGCUGAGGUGCUGUUGGCUGCCAAGGAGCACCGGCGGCCGCGUGAGACACGAGUGAUUGCUGUGCUGGGCAAACCUGGUCAGGGCAAGAGCUAUUGGGCUGGGGCAGUGAGCCGGGCCUGGGCUUGUGGCCGGCUUCCCCAGUACGACUUUGUCUUCUCUGUCCCCUGCCAUUGCUUGAACCGUCCGGGGGAUGCCUAUGGCCUGCAGGAUCUGCUCUUCUCCCUGGGCCCACAGCCACUCGUGGCGGCCGAUGAGGUUUUCAGCCACAUCUUGAAGAGACCUGACCGCGUUCUGCUCAUCCUAGACGCCUUCGAGGAGCUGGAAGCGCAAGAUGGCUUCCUGCACAGCACGUGCGGACCGGCACCGGCGGAGCCCUGCUCCCUCCGGGGGCUGCUGGCCGGCCUUUUCCAGAAGAAGCUGCUCCGAGGUUGCACCCUCCUCCUCACAGCCCGGCCCCGGGGCCGCCUGGUCCAGAGCCUGAGCAAGGCCGACGCCCUAUUUGAGCUGUCCGGCUUCUCCAUGGAGCAGGCCCAGGCCUACGUGAUGCGCUACUUUGAGAGCUCAGGGAUGACAGAGCACCAAGACAGAGCCCUGACGCUCCUCCGGGACCGGCCACUUCUUCUCAGUCACAGCCACAGCCCUACUUUGUGCCGGGCAGUGUGCCAGCUCUCAGAGGCCCUGCUGGAGCUUGGGGAGGACGCCAAGCUUCCCUCCACGCUCACGGGACUCUAUGUCGGCCUGCUGGGCCGUGCAGCCCUCAACAGCCCCCCCGGGGCCCUGGCAGAGCUGGCCAAGCUGGCCUGGGAGCUGGGCCGCAGACAUCAAAGUACCCUACAGCAGGACCAGUUCCCAUCCGCAGACGUGAGGACCUGGGCGAUGGCCAAAGGCUUAGUCCAACACCCACCGGGGGCCGCAGAGUCCGAGCUGGCCUUCCCCAGCUUCCUCCUGCAAUGCUUCCUGGGGGCCCUGUGGCUGGCUCUGAGUGGCGAAAUCAAGGACAAGGAGCUCCCGCAGUACCUAGCAUUGACCCCAAGGAAGAAGAGGCCCUAUGACAACUGGCUGGAGGGCGUGCCACGCUUUCUGGCUGGGCUGAUCUUCCAGCCUCGCGCCCGCUGCCUGGGAGCCCUAGUCGGGCCAUCGGCGGCUGCCUUGGCGGACAGGAAGCAGAAGGUGCUUGCGAGGUACCUGAAGCGGCUGCAGCCGGGGACACUGCGGGCGCGGCAGCUGCUGGAACUGCUGCACUGCGCCCACGAGGCCGAGGAGGCUGGAAUUUGGCAGCACGUGGUACAGGAGCUCCCCGGCCGCCUCUCUUUUCUGGGCACCCGUCUCACGCCUCCUGAUGCACAUGUACUGGGCAAGGCCUUGGAGGCGGCGGGCCAAGACUUCUCCCUGGACCUCCGCAGCACUGGCAUUUGCCCCUCUGGAUUGGGGAGCCUCGUGGGACUCAGCUGUGUCACCCGUUUCAGGUGGGGCGAGGGCCUUGGGGAAGAGGCAUCCUUGUGUUGGGCAUUAACUGCGGUCUUGGUGCCAAGCCCAGUGCUCUGUGGGGUCUCUUUUAGUAUGCAGAGCAGCCGGGUGGGGCAGAAUGGAUUCUCUCCAUUUUUAAGAUGAGGAUGUUGAGGCUCAGAGAGGGGCAGCCACUUGCCACAUAGCAAGUGAGAGGCAAUGGCAUUCUCCCAAUCAAUAUUUGAAGGCCCGCCAUGUGCCAGUCACUGGGGUAUGUCUAGAAUCUGAGACUGACCUGGGCUCAAAUUUGUUUUAUUCUUUCCACCCCCUGAGCAAGCCACCGUUUUCUUAUGCUAAGAGUAAAGCCAUGGUCUCCCCUUGGACUCUAUGCCUCCAUUCUCUCCUCUUCCACUCCAUUUUGUAUUCAGCAACCAGACCAAUCUUCUCAGAACUUGAAUCUGAUUGUAUCCCAUUCCUGCUUACAGUCCUUCAGGGACACUCCACCACCGUCAGGAUGAAGGCUAAAUUCCUUAAUUUGGUUUCAUUAAGUCGGUCUGCAAUCUGCUUGAGCAUUUCAGCUUAAUCUCCAGAGGAUUGCUUCCAUAUUUCCCCCUAAACAUACUUUACCCAAGCUGUAAGGUCCUACAUAAUUGUGCCAAUAAUUUAGCAGUGAGCUUCCUGGUAGCCGAAGCAAAAAGGGAAAGAAAACCACUGUGUGAGUUGUGAGAAAGUAGGAAUCAAUAAAGGCUGGAGUGGUC